GACGUAGGGCGCGAGCGUUGUCCGGAUUUAUUGGGCGUAAAGAGCUCGUAGGCGGCUUGUCGCGUCGACUGUGAAAGCCCACGGCUCAACCGUGGAGGGUCAUUGGAAACUGGGGAACUUGAGUGCAGGAGAGAAGAGUGGAAUUCCACGUGUAGCGGUGAAAUGCGCAGAUAUCAGGAGGAACACCAAUGGCGAAGGCAGCUCGCUGGGACGGUACUGACGCUGAGACGCGAAGCGUGGGG
rnacentral:rRNA from 1 species